rnacentral:tRNA from 2 species
ACGGCUAUGUUGGAAUGGUAGACAAGCGUGACUUAGGAUCUCGUGGUAGAUAUACCGUGUGGGUUCAAAUCCCUCUAGCCGUA